UUGAAAGCUGGCUCCGGCCCGCAUUGUAAUUUGCAGAGGAUGCUUUUGGCGAGGUGCCUUCCGAGUUCCCUGGAACGGGACGCCAUAGAGGGUGAGAGCCCCGUAUGGAUGGACACCAAACCUGUGUAAAGCUCCUUCAACGAGUCGAGUAGUUUGGGAAUGCUGCUCUAAAUGGGAGGUAAAUCUCUUCUAAAGCUAAAUACCGGCCAGAGACCGAUAGCGCACAAGUAGAGUGAUCGAAAGAUGAAAAGCACCUUGAAAAGGGGGUUAAACAGUACGUGAAAUUGUUGAAAGGGAAGCAUUUAUGACCAGACUUGCGCCGGGCAGCUCAUCAGGGGUUCUCCCCUGUGCACUCUGCCCGGCUCAGGCCAGCAUCGGUUCUCGUGGGAGGAUAAGAACAGUGGGAACGUGGCCCCCCUCCGGGGGGGUGUUAUAGCCCAUUGUACGAUACUCUCGUGGGGACCGAGGUUCGCGCUCCGCAAGGAUGCUGGCGUAAUGGUCAUCAAUGACCCGUCUUGAAACACGGACCAAGGAGUCGUCCAUUAGAGCGAGCGUUUGGGUGUAAAACCCGCACGCGUAAUGAAAGUGAACGCAGGUGAGAGCUUCGGCGCAUCAUCGACCGAUCCUGAUGUCUUCGGAUGGAUUUGAGUAAGAGUUUUAACGGACGGACCCGAAAGACAGUGAACUAUGCUUGUAUAGGGUGAAGCCAGAGGAAACUCUGGUGGAGGCUCGCAGCGGUUCUGACGUGCAAAUCGAUCGUCAAAUAUGAGCAUGGGGGCGAAAGACUAAUCGAACUGUCUAGUAGCUGGUUACCGCCGAAGUUUCCCUCAGGAUAGCAGUGUUGUUCUUCAGUUUUAUGAGGUAAAGCGAAUGAUUAGGGACUCGGGGGCGCUUAUUAGCCUUCAUCCAUUCUCAAACUUUAAAUAUGUAAGAAGCCCUUGUUACUUAAUUGAACGUGGGCAUUCGAAUGUACCAACACUAGUGGGCCAUUUUUGGUAAGCAGAACUGGCGAUGCGGGAUGAACCGAACGCGGGGUUAAGGCGCCAGAGUGUACGCUCAUCAGACACCACAAAAGGCGUUAGUACAUCUUGACAGCAGGACGGUGGCCAUGGAAGUCGGAAUCCGCUAAGGACUGUGUAACAACUCACCUGCCGAAUGUACUAGCCCUGAAAAUGGAUGGCGCUCAAGCGUACCGCCCAUACCCCGCC
rnacentral:rRNA from 1 species